CAGUUUGCUCAGGGUUGCUGAGGAGAAGGAGGCAGAAAGGAGUGCUCUGCUUCCUGGCAGUCGUGAGAAAUGUCAAGGCGGUUUCAAUAUUGGCUCUGCACUGGAAAAUGCUUCUCCCCCUCUCACGACUCUGAAGAAAGAUCAAUAAACACAGGAAACUUAUAAACAAGCAGGAACAACAUGAACGGUAAAACAACUGUCUUGAUAACAAAGAUAUCACCUCCAGUAAAUCCAGAAGCCUGUUUCCAUCCCUGACAUCUGUGAACAAGUCCAGAACAACUGUGGGGGGUCUGUGCUGUGGAGGAUCAUGAAGAAACGUUUGAAUGGAAUAACAACAUGGAACAACAGCAACAACAACGACAACAGCCUUGGUUCCCACAAAGUUGUUAUUUGAUCCUCAUGGAAGAUAUGUCCAUUAAGAUAUUCUUCUACCUCGUCUGCCAUUUCCUCCAGCUUUUUUUCCCCCCAAAGUACCACUUACUAGCUUAUUUCCGUUUUCCUCAUAUGCACCGUUUCUUCUAUUGACCGUAAUUUUGUAGAUAAUGUGUUCUCAAACUACCUUCUUUCCUUAGCCGAAGUCCUAGUUUACAUUUCAUUUAUUUGUUUAUUCAACACUCACCAUAUUGUAAAAACAUGCAUGUGUCAUUUGUUUCCUUGAUAAUUUGCUAAUAAAAAGGAGCUUAAGGAACUGCUAAUUAGGUUAUUUAUGAGCUUUGGGAAAUGGCGUUCACAGAACCAAUCACAUCAACGCAGUCAGUGUUGCGUGAUCUUCACCAUAUCCCAGUGCUUUUAUUGUUUCCACAGUCUACACUCCACACUGCACCAGUGCCCUGGCUUCAGCAGAUAACCCCUUCUGGAUUCGAGCCAGAGGAAGUGCUGUCACUGGAGCUGAUGUUGCUGACUGACUGCACAUUCUGCUCAUUCAGUGGCUCUAUAUUUAAUACACACCCAUACGACAUACAAAUAAAUCUUUUGCCCAUGCUGCAUGAGAAAGGGGGAUUCUGCUCUGCUAAAUGACUUGACAGCUCACCAGCGACUGCUACUAAAUGGAGCAGUAAUAAUAAAACAAACAGCAUGACUGUUCUUAUGAAGCUACUCCACUGACAAUUGCCCACUGUUUCAAAAGUAUGAUGUUUAAUUACAAGAGGCUGGUCUGAAUGCAUUGCUAGGAUGACUAUAGCACAAAGUAAGGACCACUCAGAAUGGCUGCACCACAUCAUCAAAAGGGAACAGUAAAAAAAAAAGUUGCAAGUCUUUACUUCUCUUUGCUGGGAAUACAUCCUUUCAAAACUACACUGCACACAUCUGUUUGAAGAGCAAGAACUGGGCUAAUGAUCAAAAAGAUCACAGGCCUUAUGUUAUUCCAUUACCCUAAAGAGCAUGGAGCUACACAUUUCAAUUAAUGUUUUUUUUUCUAGUUAAUGUACUUCCGCUUUUCUAGUCGUAGAAACUGCCUGAAUGUGAAAUCUAUCAAGCCCUGCUUCAAACAAACAAUGCCCUUCUUAUCAGCGGUAUACAAUGUAACUAUGCGUCCUGCAAUAGGGUGACUUGAAUGGGAGCUGGAAGUCCUGAGUACAGUAAAUUAUACAUCUUCUAA